UACGUAGGGGGCAAGCGUUGUCCGGAAUCAUUGGGCGUAAAGAGCGUGUAGGCGGCUCGGUAAGUCCGCUGUGAAAGUCCAGGGCUCAACCCUGGAAUGCCGGUGGAAACUGUCGAGCUCGAGUCCGGAAGAGGCGAGUGGAAUUCCUGGUGUAGCGGUGAAAUGCGCAGAUAUCAGGAGGAACACCAAUGGCGAAAGGCAGCUCGCUGGGACGUACUGACGCUGAGACGCGAAACGUGGGGAGCAAACAGG
rnacentral:rRNA from 1 species